rnacentral:rRNA from 1 species
GAUGAACGCUAGCGGCGGGCCUAACACAUGCAAGCCGAGCGGAAAAGUUCCUUCGGUAACUUGAGCGCGGCGCACGGGUGCGUAACAAGUGUGCAACCUACCUUUAUCUGGGGGAUAGCUUUUCGCAAGGAAGAUUGAUAACCCAUAAUAUAAUGCUUGGCAUCAAUUAUUGUUGAAAACUCCGGUGGAUAGAGAUGGGCACGCUCACGAUUAGAUAGUUGGUUAGGUAACGGCUCACCAAGUCAGUGUUCUUUAGGGGUCCUGAGGGUGAGAGGCACCAGACGGGGACUGACACACGGACCAGACUCCUACGGGAGGCACCAGUGAGGGAUAUUGGAGAAUGGGUGAGUGCCUGAUCCAGCCAUCCCGCGUGAAGCAAGACGGUCCUAGGGAUUGUAAACUUCUUUUGGACAGGGAUAAACCUACCCUCGUGAGGGUAGCUGAAGGUACUGUACGAAGAAGCACCGGCUAACUCCGUG